rnacentral:lncRNA from 1 species
AGGAAGAAAAGAAUCUUGUUGAAGUUCGCUUUCCUAUUAUUACAUAUCGGGCACUGUGAACAUUAUUUUAUAAAUCAAGAUGCCAAGAAAAUUCCAGCCCGAAGUCUAUAUUUGAUUACAGACAAACAUUUUAUCCCCGUCGUCUUUCUUCGCAGUGAAGCCAAACGCUUUCCUUUGUUUACACAGCGGUUGUCAUGGUGACCACCAUACUCGUUGUUCGAACGUACUAGAAUUGUUCUUUUGCCAAAGUUAUUUGUCGUCCUAUUUACUGUUUGCUAAUUAAGGAAAGCUUAAUUUGACGUUUUGUUAAUAUUUUUGUUUUGACAUUACUUAAAUUAUUGUAUGUCAAGAGAUACCCGUAAGGAUAAUUUGAUACUUGCAUGCAUAUCCUGGAUCGUAUGCUCAGUCAUAAGAGUGAUAAGAUAUUUGUUUUUAUCUUAUCAAGGCUGAUGGCAGUUACGGUUGUGGUACCUGAAUUUGAAAUUAGAGAUAUCUCUGGUUUAAGCUAGCGACUUAGAUAUGAAAUUGUAGUUUAAUGGGAUGAUUUUGCGGGUAAAUCUGACCAGGGCACUUUGUGCAGAAGGUGAAUAUUUUUAUUGAUAAAUUGAAUGCUAUGAAGACAAAUACAAAAAGUUUAUGCCAGAGAUCUGUCUGCGUACCGACCCAUAGAGAUGUCGUUGUGUGUAAUUAUGUCUAGCAUAAUUGACAAACUUAUCGCUCUAAGGUUUAUUGCUUCUUAGUAUUAUAAAUAUUAAUUAGUAAGUUUAACCAUAUUAGAUAUUGAGAUAAAUGAUCGAUUCUGCUACAUCAAAAAUUGCAGGUAUGUCUAUUUAUGAACCAGAAUUGGUAAUUACUCUCUACCCUCUCGAUAUAUAGCCCGAGAAACCAUUAUAAUCUCUUUCGACACAUGUUAGAUAUGAAGUUGAAGUCGGUGUUCAUCGCACAAAUGGCAUCUAGUGAGGGUAGUAUCGGCCGGUCGAGCUGCACAGCGACGGUUCAGUCACAAACAGGCGAGGGUGGGCGACGGCGACCGGUCGUGUUGACUUCCGUUCUGCGACGAAUAACAAAGACAGAAAACGAAGUAGGGACAGACAGGGAAACAAGCGUGACAAAGAGCGGAAGAAAGUCCAUCCGGUCGACGAGGUGACAACUUCCCGUCGGUCUCGCACUCCUCGGAGGGCACGGAAACCCUCGCCCGUGAGACCCGCCAACACGUCGUGGACUUGUUACGAUGAAAACGAUACUAGCAUUGCGUAUAUCUUG